AAAAGGGGCCUCUGAUGUGAGUGGCACCAACAGGCAGCUCGCUUGGUCUAUGUGCAGAAUUGACAUCAAGAGAUUUUGAAAGCAUAAAUUUUUGGCUGUUGUGCAGCUGGUGAUCAUUGGUCCUGGUGUGUCU